GCGCCCGUAGCUCAGUUGGCUGGCAGAGCAGUGGGACGGUACUCCACGGUCCCGGGUUCAAGUCCCGGCGGUUGCU